rnacentral:rRNA from 1 species
UACGUAGGGUGCAGGCGUUAAUCGGAAUUACUGGGCGUAAAGCGUGCGCAGGCGGCUUCCUAAGUCAGAUGUGAAAUCCCCCGGGCUUAACCUGGGAACUGCGUUUGAAACUGGGAGGCUGGAGUGCGGCAGAGGGGGGUGGAAUUCCACGUGUAGCAGUGAAAUGCGUAGAUAUGUGGAGGAACACCGAUGGCGAAGGCAGCCCCCUGGGUUAACACUGACGCUCAGGCACGAAAGCGUGGGGAGCAAACAGG